GCUGGGAUUACAGGCGUGCACCAACGCUUGGCUAAUUUCUUUGUAUUUUUAGUAGAGAUGGGGUUUCACCAUGUUGGCCAGGCUGGUCUCGAACUCCUGACCUCAUGUGAUCCACCCACCUUGGCCUCCCAAAGUGCUGGGAUUACUGGCAUGAGUCAUCACACGUGGCCUAGAUUCAUCUAAAUUUUAAAACAUGGGAUGUUGCAAUCAGAUAGAAGAGCCAGAUCCAGUAUUGGCAGCUGUUACUGGUUUUGUGACCUGAAGAAGCUAAUCAAUGUUUCUAAGCCUCAAUUCCCUUCUCUGUAAAAGUGGGUGCUCACAGUGUUGUUGAGAAGAUUAAGCAGGGAAGAGUGUGUGAAACUACCUUACACAUAGCAAGGGCUCAAUAAAUGGUAGUAACUGUUCUUUGUUUUAAAAAAUUUUUGCUUAAUCCACUGCACAAUAAAGUGACCCAUGGAAGACCUUGGGAAAUGUUUACAGGUUUCAAAUUUGGUGUUUGCCAAGUAUUGCAAAACAUCUACCCCUCCUCACUACACACUUGUACUCCUGUUAAAAUACAUUACUGUGCUUGAAGGUGUCCAGUCUUCUAUUGUCUUGCAUAGUAGCACAGGCGAGCUUGGUGAAGGUAGGUGGAAUCAGGGUGUGUUUUCAGCAACAAGUGAGCAGAGGAGCUGAGCGGGUGGUUCUGAGCAAAGGGCCCGAGAAGUGACAGCAGAGGGGGAGUGAUGCCGAAACGAUAAUAUUAGAGUACACAGAGUAAUGCACAGCUGCCAGGUCACACAAUUUGAGAACUGCUUCAGAACAGUCAACUCUUCCACGCUGUUGCUAAGAGACGGGGGAGGUGGGGAGGCAUUCAUCCCUUGAACAAAAGGGAGGGGAAAAACACGAACAGACAUGAACUCUAAGUUUUGGAAAUGAUUUCAUGGACUCCUAUUUUCUGAACGUUAGUGUCUUUGGAGACAUUUUCAUGUGUUGAGUUCCUACUGUGUGCUAUGUGUGGCUCAAGGCACUGGGGAGAGAGCAGUGGACAAAGUCCCUGUUUUCAUGGAGCUUCUAUUGGAUUUGGUCUUCUCCUUUGAUGUUGAGGGGACUGACUGAGGUCCUCAGAAGGGAAGAACUUGCCUAAGAACUGAAGGCAACCUAUUGGCAAAGCUGAUAUUUGAAUCCAGGCCUCCUAAAUCCAAGAUCGAGACUUUUUCCAUAUACUACAUUUUACAAAAGAGAUUCAUCUGCAGCAGAUUUUAACGUUAGCUAGGACUUAAGUACCUCAGCUAGGUCAAGGUCCAUUCACUGGAGAUUUCUGCAAAUGAGUCCAAAAAAAUGAUGUUUUUUUAAUUUCAAGUGUCCCACGGAGAAGUUUCAUAUUUAUUCAGAGUCCUUGUCUUCCAUUAUUACACCUAGUUGAAUGAAACUGUAUAGUAUGAAAGGAGGUAGGGAGAAUCAAAACAGGAAAAAGAUUUGGGUAUCUCAUAACUGCUGAAAAUUAGCAAGACAUGGAAGUCAAGAGAUCUGGGUGCAGAAGCAGUUUCUACUUCUUCCUACCUGUGACCUUACCUCUUUAGGCCUGUUUUCCCACCUAUAACAUGAGGGAUUGCAUUAUAAUAAUCUCAGCAUUCUUCUCCAGCUCUAAAUUUAUGAUGAGUCACCCAACAGUGCCAUGCAGUGAAAAUAGCCCUAAGGCCCUAAGAUGUAAUUUCAGAGAGUGACUGUGGUUCAAAGAUGAAAAACUGAGUGUUAAUUGCCCCUUCUCCUGUGCUCCCAUGGUCCUAGGGCAGGGUGCUGCUGUAGUGCACAUUCUGCUGUGCAUGCUGAGAAGCUGGCUCCGGGUCUGCACCAGCAGAAAGGUCUGUGCUUAUGGAGGGUGAGCACUGUGUCCUGUGCACUGCCACGUGACUGUUUUUGUAGGCCUUUCUUCCCAUCAGACCAUGACUACUUUGAUGGCAGGGACCAUGUCUUAUUUAUCCUUCUGCCUUAGUGCCUGCCGCUGAGUAGUCUGUAGAUGUUUACAGAGUGAAGGAAUCAAUGAAUAAUGACUGAGUGAGAAAACUAUACUUUUUCAGGGUCAAUAAAGGAAAUAGCACAAGAGAAUCUCCCCUGAUAAACUUGUCAAAGUGAUCCCAGAAUUAAACAUUCAGGCUGGAGAGGUUAUUAGUGACUUGCUUAAGGCCACAUUGUUUAAAAGCAGCAAAGCUAGGACUCCUUUCCUCUCUCCUUUUCUUUCUUUUAUUCAGUACCCCAAAAGGGUGUUUGGCUCCAGCAUUGAACACAGGUGACUUUGAAUAACAAUUUAUCGGAACAAGAUGAAUUUUGAAGCAGGUAGGAGGGUGGCUUUUGAGUCUGACAGAUGUGGGUUCAAAUCCUCUGGGGCCGCUGACUAUCAGUGUGAUCUAUGGCAACUUAACCUCCCGGAAGCUCAGUUUCCUCGUGUGAAAAGUAGAAGUGAUAACAUCUCCACCAUCUCCCUUGCAGGCUGCUUCUGUGGGGUCAUUUGAAGGCUUAUGGUUAACCCAGAUAAGAGGUAGGAUGGGAGUUUCUAACACAAGUCUCUUACUGUCCUGCACGAUUUGUUGCUUCAGAGAAAUGGGGUCUUCUCUAUCUUUUUUGAAAUUCCAUUGUUGGCUUAGACAAUGAGUAGCCUUCUGUGUAUGUGAUGUACAUUCUCCCCCAGACCUACUGUUAUGUAUUUUCCAGCCUACUGAGGUAGUCCAGGCCCAUUCACUAUACACAUCAGUGUGUGCUGGCUUGUGUUUUUACCCUUUCUGCAGCUACAGCCUGAACUAAGACUGGGUCCUUGCAGCUCUCCAACACAUGAUUGCUGCCUGCCAGAACCACAGACCUUUCUCGGGACUGGCACGAAUUUCAGCCAACAGAGCCUGCACAGAAACACAUGGAAAAGGCUUCCGGUGGAGCUUACUGUGAGUCACAGACAGCCAUAGUUGCACUGGAUAGAGAGCUGGCAGAUGCCAUCAGCAUAUGCCCUUAGAAACUUUGGUUGUUUUGUGGCCUGGAGAAGAGCCCAGAAUUAUGGAGCCUAAGAGGCAGCACCUCUGCUUUCUGAAGAGGAAGCCGUAGUGCCGUGGACUUCACCACGUGCACAGUGGCUGCAUCCAGACCUGAAUGCCCCUCUCAUUACUCACCGGAAGUGAGCUUUGAACACUUCACACAGGAAGAUGACUCGCUCCUCCAACAAGAUGCAGAAAGUCUUUCCAAGCAAAUGACUUGAAGUGUUUAAAUAUUCUGUUUCUUAGUCUGCUUUUUUUCUGUUAAAUCCUUCAGCUUGAAUGAGCACCUUUAUCUGCAAAUUGAUCUGGUUGUAGCAUCCCUUGACCAUGUAGGUGGAUUUUUAAUUUGUACUUAAGGCCAGUUACAAUAUGCCAUCUGCAACUCUGCUCCCUUUAUGCUCCUGUAGCACUGCUAUAGAGAGGAAGGGUUUGUCGUAGCAAUGGGAAAUAAAACAAUGAGCAUACAACUUUUACAAUUGGAAAUGAAGAAGCAUAAAAAAAAAUAACGGCUGAUAUUUGUUAUCGGUCAGGCCUGAGUAUGAGAAUUAUGGGUCUCUAACAUGCCUGAAUUAGCAAGAGGAUGAAAUUGCAAGAAGGCAGGCUGGAGAACAACCUCUUGACCCCACUCAGCAUUUUGGAGCAUGGCAGCUUAACAGAUCCAACACAGAAAACAAGGGAAUGGGUUAGUCUGGUGCUCAUUCUCAAAGGUAGAUGUGUCUGAAGUGAGAACUCUUGUUUGCAUUCUCUGGAACCAAGUAGGGAUCUGUCAUCUUUUGGGAAGAUCUGUCCUUCCUCAGCAGGUGUCCCAUCAGCAAGGACAAAAUCUGGAACCCAGAUUCCAGGGAAAGAAACUAAGAAGAGCUAGGCAUGGAUCCAGGCCAUUCAACAAUAGGCUAGGGACAACAGCAGGCUCUGAGCUCAGGGAAGGGACGCUUGGGCAGAAACUAGUCUUACGGGAUUGGGGAAGGUAGCACAGUAUCACAGGGAGAGCAUGUCUUUGGACUUGAAGAGACAUAGAUUAUAAUCCCAGUUUUGGUGCUUACUAGCUAUGUGAUUGCAGGUAGGUCAGUUUCCUUCAUGGGACUCAUCUGCAAAAUAAUUCUUACAGAGGCAUCAUAAUACCCAAGAUCAUAGUCAAAUAAACUUGGAAUAGAAACUCUGGCCCAUCAUUUAUGAACCAUUAGUUCCUUAACUUUUGUCCUAACCUUCCUUAAGCCUCAGUUUUCCUAUCUGUAAAAAGGAGAUAAGAUUACUUAUCUUAGAUCUAGUGUGAGGAUUAAUUGAAACAUUGCAAGUACAAUACUCAGCAUAAGGCUCAGAACACAGAACACAUUCCAUAAAUGGUGCUAUGAUUGGUCCUGGGAUAUUGGCUCCUGGUCUGGUUGGCAGUGAAGGCAAGGAAAACAUGUGUGUGGGAUAUGCUGACAGUUUAGGGGAUGUCCUAGAGUUUCCCAUAGUUGUCCCAGUCAGUUUGAUCUUGGUAUUAUGCACUAGGCUGUGUACUGUUUGGCCCCAGUUAAGAUUCCAGGUCUGAGAACAUUUUUGAAGCCCCUAGAUGGAUGGGCUGAGGUGAUGAAAGAGGUAACUUUGAUAUGAACUAUGCCUCAAUAAGUGGGUUCUGCAAACUGGGGAAGGCAGGGCUGAAGCUGACAGCUUUAUAGUUCAAAGAGUGUUUUCCCAAAUAUGAUUUAAUUUAAUUUAACCCUUAUAGCUUGCAUCACCAAAAUUGUCCCCAAAUGAAGAAACAAAGAUCCUGAGAGGUUCCCUAAGUGGGAGUCAGUGCUGGUACAGGGUCCUGAACUUGGCAAGACUGCAAAACCAUGCUCCACCUGUGUCGCAGCAAGGCUGUGGUGUCUGUCCCAAUGCAGUAGUCAGUGAGGAUCUGCUCUCUGCUCAGUCCUGUGGAGGAGGCUCAUAGUGUUGACCCUGUUCCUGCCCUAUAUAUAUGUGUAUAGUAUAAUAAUAAUAAUUCUGGGGAUGUAAUACAGUUACUAUUUGUUGAGCACUAACUGCUUAACAUAUGCCAUCUUAUUUUUUUUCACAGAAAAACACCAUAAAUAGGAUUUCUGAUGUCCAUUUUAUAGAUGAAGAAGGAAGGUUUAGCAAGGCCAUUCAAGGAUACACAGCUAGAGGACGAGAUGGAAUUGAAGUCCCUUUGUCAGCAUCCUUUUCAUUCUUGAUGCCAUUUCAUUUCCCCUCCUGGUAUGUUUUGUUAUGCAGUUAGCUUAGGCCUAAUUUUAUAUAACCAAUUAUAAACUGUGAAAUAGGAUUCUGGUAUGAAUUUCCUAUUCUUCUCCCACUAAGCAACUGAUGAAUCCCUUCGUGGUCAGAUGUGACGAAUGGGAUUGUUUCUGUUCUACUAUGGUUUGAAUUUCUACCUUGAUAAUUACACAAAAACACUAUCAACAAAGGUGGACGCCAGGUAAACACUGCUCCCUCCUAAAUGCUUCUAUGGCUGAGAUCCAUUCUCUUGCUCUUUUUCUCCUUUCUUCAAGAACAGAUGUUCAUAUUCUUUGCCAAUUUUUCUACUGAGUUAUAAGAACACAUUAUAUAUUAAGAAAAUUAGUCCUAUUUAUUUGUCUUAUAGGUUAGAAAUAUUUACCUGUUGGUCAAUGGUCUAUCAUCUGAAUAUAUAGUAUUUUUGGGGGCCUCUGCAUAAUAGUUCUGUAUUAUUUUUUAGGAAAGCCUUCCCACUCCAAGAGAAAAACUAUUAUACAAAUGAUACAACCUGCUAUGGAAAAAAGAGAAAUAACAGAUAAGUAUACAAAGAAAAUACAAGAAAAACAUGAACAGUAAUAAUCUUAUCCAAAUGUUACUGAGAUAUUUUUGGAGUACUUAAUUUCAAUCUUUUUCCUAUAUGCAAACACACACAACUUUUCUCUAACAAAAAUCAGAUCAUACUGUACUAGCAAACACCCUACCUGAAAUCUGUAUAUCCAUUGCCUAUUGAUUAUGCCCAUUGCUUAACAUACUAUGUUUUAUUUAAUCAUUAUUUAAUUGUUGAGUAUGCAAGUUAUUUCUGAGUUUUCACUCAAGCUGUUUACGCUUAUUUCUGUCUGGGUGUGAAUGAAUCUUUGGCACAUUCCUCUAGCAAGUUGAUCAACAUCUGGUCUAAGAUAUUCUUCGGUGUUGGGUUUGUGCUGUCCACAUCAGCUUAGCAAUGUCUGCACAAAGACUCCUUCCCCCUCAAAAGUGCCAUUCAGACUUGCUGUGGGUAUAAGGGGAACAAUCUCAUUGAGGAGAAAGUUGUCAUUGUGGUUGAGAACAUGAACUUUGGAAUUGGAUAGAGCUGUGUGAAUUUGGCCUAAACUCCGAGUCUGCUUCCACAUCUGUAAAAUGUAGACACAAAUAGUUACUCAUAAGGUUCUGGUGGGGAUUAAAUGUGGUUAUACCUGUAAAGUCCUUAGCAUUAUGCCCAGCACAUAGUGAAGAUGUUCGAUAAAUGAUAACUAAACAAACAUUGUGUCCCCUCCCACUACAACCACACUGCUCUCCCUCACCUUACAGACUUUGCUGCUUGACAAUCUUGGGGUGGGGCUGCUGAAAACUGAAUCUCAAUUUAGGAAGCCAUGUUGUCCCAGGAUUAGGGUUAUUGGCCUCACAUAAGAAUCUCCAAAUCUGCAGAAUCUCAGGCCCCACCCAAAAACUAUUCAAUCAGAAACUACAUUUUCAAAAGAUAUCCCAGAUGAUUUGUAUGCAUAGUAAAGUUUGAGAAGGUUUUAGUCCAGGUAUUCAGGAAGUGAUGCUGGUUGUGUAUGGAGGACAGGGGCCCAGGAACUGAUGAAAUCUCUAGUUUGGAAUUCUCGAUAGCAUUUGCAUUCUUUUUUUUUUUUUUUAUCUCAAAUCCAUCACUCAGUAGCAAUGUGAUCUUCACAAAGCUCCCUUUACUUUUACCACCAUAGUGUUGUAGGAGAAGCUCUAUCUUCCAAGUCAGACAGAUCUGGGCUUCAAUUCCAGCUUUGUUAACUGGAGGACUUAUUAUUAGCUGGGAGGACUUGCGACAAAUCAUACCAACUUUCUGAGCCCAGUUUCCUUCCCUGUAAAAUGUAGAUAAUACACCUUUCUUGAGGUGUUACUAGAGAUAACCAAUGAUAAAGUGUUUGGGAAAUCUGGCAUAUCGUAGGGGUACAAUGAGUAAGUGGUUUGACUCCAAAGACCUGAGUUUGGAUCUCAGCUCCACAACUCACUUGGCUGAUUGCUUUCUUUCCCUGGACUCAAGUUUCAUCAUCUGUAAAACUGGCAUUUCAACCAAAUAACUUCUGAAGUCUCUCCCUCCUUUAAAGCUUGAUAUUACAAGGGCAAAUUUUAGUACAAAUAUCCAAAUCCUAACGGUAACUCACAAUUACAAAAGAGCUGAGUCUGUCAUUCACCUGUCAAAUUAUCUAAACUGCGUCUCAGUCAGGAGAUGUGAAAAGAAGGAUGGAUUUUCUAUGAAUGUUUUCUUUUUUUUUUUUGAGACGGAGUCUCGCUCUGUCGCCCAGGCUGGAGUGCAGUGGCG
rnacentral:lncRNA from 1 species